UACGUAGGUGGCAAGCGUUGUCCGGAUUUAUUGGGUUUAAAGGGUGCGUAGGCGGUUCCAUAAGUCAGUGGUGAAAUACGGCAGCUCAACUGUCGAGGUGCCAUUGAUACUGCGGAACUUGAGUACUGAUGAGGUAGGCGGAGUUGACGGUGUAGCGGUGAAAUGCUUAGAUAUCGUCAAGAACACCGAUAGCGAAGGCAGCUUACCAAGCAGUAACUGACGCUGAGGCACGAAAGUGCGGGGAUCAAACAGG
rnacentral:rRNA from 1 species